rnacentral:rRNA from 1 species
AACGAACGCUGGCGGCAUGCCUAACACAUGCAAGUCGAACGAGACCUUCGGGUCUAGUGGCGCACGGGUGCGUAACGCGUGGGAACCUGCCCUUAGGUUCGGAAUAACUCCCCGAAAGGGGUGCUAAUACCGGAUAAUGUCUUCGGACCAAAGAUUUAUUGCCUUUGGAUGGGCCCGCGUUGGAUUAGCUAGUUGGUAGGGUAAAAGCCUAACAAGGCGACGAUCCAUAGCUGGUCUGAGAGGAUGAUCACCCACACUGGGACUGAGACACGGCCCAGACUCCUACGGGAGGCAGCAGUGGGGAAUAUUGGAAAAUGGGCGAAAGCCUGAUCCAGCAAUGCCGCGUGAGUGAUGAAGGCCUUAGGGUUGUAAAGCUCUUUUACCCGGGAUGAUAAUGACAGUACCGGGAGAAUAAGCUCCGGCUAACUCCGUG